rnacentral:rRNA from 1 species
GACAGAGGUGCCGAGCGUUAGUCGGAAUCACUGGGCUUAAAGCGUGUGUAGGCGGAUCUGUAAGUACCUUGUGAAAUCCCAUGGCUCAACCAUGGAACUGCUUGGUAUACUGCGGAUCUUGAGCCACCUAGGGGCAAGUGGAACAAACGGUGGAGCGGUGAAAUGCGUAGAUAUCGUUUGGAACGCCAAUGGUGAAAACAACUUGCUGGGGGUGUGCUGACGCUGAGACACGAAAGCCAGGUGAGCAAACGGG